UACACUCCUGCGGGAGGCAGCAGUGGGGAAUAUUGGCCAAUGGGCGCAAGCCUGAUCCAGCCAUGCCGCGUGAGUGAUGAAGGCCCUAGGGUUGUAAAGCUCUUUCACCGGUGAAGAUAAUGACGGUAACCGGAGAAGAAGCCCCGGCUAACUUCGUGCCAGCAGCCGCGGUAAUACGAAGGGGGCUAGCGUUGUUCGGAUUUACUGGGCGUAAAGCGCACGUAGGCGGACUAUUAAGUCAGGGGUGAAAUCCCGGGGCUCAACCCCGGAACUGCCUUUGAUACUGGUAGUCUUGAGUUCGAGAGAGGUGAGUGGAAUUCCGAGUGUAGAGGUGAAAUUCGUAGAUAUUCGGAGGAACACCAGUGGCGAAGGCGGCUCACUGGCUCGAUACUGACGCUGAGGUGCGAAAGCGUGGGGAGCAAACAGGAUUAGAUACCCCGGUAGUCCC
rnacentral:rRNA from 1 species